rnacentral:lncRNA from 1 species
UAAAAACCUUACUUUCUUGUUUAAUUUGUUUUGCCAAACACAGUGAAAACUUCAGUCUAAUUGUACAGAAAAUAGAAUUUGUAACCAGUAGCAAACAUAACGAGAUAAACCUAAGUCCCUGGUCAGCUGGAUCUCCAUCAGCAAGUCACCCAGAGUCCUCUGAUAAAUGACCUUCUGGGUAGAGAGGUCCUAACAGGCAGAGGCGCAGAUCAACUAGUCUCCAUCAGAAUCACAGGCUGCACCUGAAACGGGUAGCAUGAAAAGGAGAAAUGAUGUUACUGAGAUCUCUUAUUACUACACACAGCAAAGCUGUCUUCAAUUGCUGGCCAACCUUAAGAUGUGGGCUUUCUCAAACCCACAGUCCCUAAGAGUCCCAUUUGCACCCCUCCAGGGUAAGUUUCAAGUUCAAUGGUUCUGAAGCCUUUGUAUAACCAGAAUCUGCAACAUAAAUUGGGGAGUGAGAGACAAAGUCAUAACUGCUGGUGUCACCAGAUUCUGAAGUCCCCAACUCCUACUUCAGGAGGAAACGAAAGAGGGUGCCAAUUGACCAGCUUAAGUCCCACUGUCCUAAACCUCAGCACUGUCAACCAGAAUAUUGGGGAGUUCAACAUCUGCCUGAGGAUUCCUUGGGCUGGAAGGAGUCACGAAUUCUGCAGGUUUCUGGGAGGAACCAUUCACAUUCCGUGCUUCUUACGGAUGACAGCCAUGGCAAGCAGGCGAUCCUUCUCUCGAAGUUCUUCACGGAGCUUGGCCUCGGUAAGACGCAGAUGGCGGAUGCUACCCUUCAUCUCUUUCAUCUUCACUUCCAUCAGGGCCAAGAUGUCCCGCUGCUCAUUCAGCUUGCGCAGGAGCUCCUCCUCCGUGGUACCGGACGACAAAGAGUAUGAGUGGUCGGAGCCAGUAUCAGGGAAGCCCUCUUCCCCUACUACCACCAGCUGAGGGCCCAGAGUGCACUCAGCGGCCUCCAGCCCAGCUGUAGCAGCCUCUAGCUCUGAUGCGGCGGCAGCGGCGGCUGCCCCUUCAGCAGCUGCAAACUCUACUUGCACUGUAAGGUCGAUGGGCUUCACAUCAUCUCCCGAGGAAGUAGUGGGCGCUGGAACCACGGUUCCAGGAGCCUGGCUGCUGUCUACGGCGGCCUGAAGAGUAAGAAGCACGGCCGCAGAGGCAGACACCAGAUUCGGCUGCAACUGGGCAGUCUGGGCAGUGGAGGAGGACGGAGACUGCUGCUGCUGCUGUUGCUGCUGUUGCUGCUGCUGCUGCUGUUGUUGUUGUUGCUGCUGCUGCUGCUGCUGCCUACGGCGGGCUGCCGCAGCUCCCGCAGGUCUCCGAGCUACUUUGCGCUCAUUGACGCCACGCAGCGGGAAAAUGGUGGGAACGCGCACCGUGUAGGUCUUGCGGCCGC